AGCUCACGUAACACACGCUGUUUCUGCAUUUCUGAUAUUAAUCUGGAGUACCUAUGGAGUAGUAUGACAUCCUUUAUAUCUCUGAAGAGUCUUUAGUUUAAUCAGAUUUAUAAAAGAAAGAUUAGCUUCACCGAAUCUUUCCGAUAACGUACGAAAAAAUGAAGGAGGAGUUAUAACACGGGAGGAGCGAGUACGAGUCAUGCAACACUAUACAACACUGUUUUAACUUAUGAUUCACUACAUGUUCGUGUCAUUUAUAUAAUAUACACGCGCCAAUUUCCAACAUAAGACUGAAGUCUUACUUACCACGUGUAACUCGUCAUCAAACACACACGCAAAACUCCGCUGCUAAUCCGGAUAAUAAACUAUAUCCAUUGUUUCCAUAAGGCUGGAUGUCUUCUCCUUACAUCCAAAAACACACUUCUUGUUGUGCCAUUGUUGACUUUUGAAAUUAAACAAAGCUGAGUGGCGUGAUAAGCUGUUAGCAAGCUCUAGCGUCUCCCGCUGACUGACGGCUGGGCGGGGUUUUCCGGGGGAAGUUUUCCGGCGGAAGCCCAUAUAAAGAAGUGAUACGUAUCGAAAACCCCUGAAACGUCAGUUAGAACCGUAAUCGAAAAAAAUUAGCCGAAACUUGUACGAACCCUGGCGAAGUGCAUUCGGCACAGAAAUACUCUGAAACACGCCCAACUGCAUUUUUGACACUUUGCCUACGUUUAGCAUGAGGAAACAACUCUAUAACUGUGUUAAUAAGUCAGAAUGCUUGAAAUACCAUUAAACCCCCCCUUUAAACACGGUGCACGUGCGUCCCAAACUGUGGGCGGAAAACAGGACGAUUCGAUUCUUUACUGAGAACCGUUACACUCCUAGUUUGAAAGUAAAACUGACUUUAUUGAAGAUGUACUCCACCUUCAGAAAUAAAAAUUAUAGAUUUUUUUACUUAGCCCCAUCUAAGUCAUCUAAGGUGUUUAUGCCUUUUUUUCAUCAGCUGAACACAAUCAGAGUUCUAAUUAUUAAUAUACUGGCUCCUUUUUGCUUUGUAAUAAGUUUGAUCAUGGACCAAACAUUUACGAUCUCAAAAAAGUCCAUCCAUCCAUCCAUCAUUAAAGUAAUCCAUAUACAACCCAGUGGUUUAAUAAAUGUAUUUAGAAGCAAAGUAUAAGGUUUAUAAGAAAAAGUUUAGUUCUGAGCACUUUUAGUGAUUAGUUACAUAUACGUUAGCCUGGUUAGCCAGACCUACAUCAAGAUGUAAGGUCUGGCAACUCUUCACACAAACGGCUCAAUGCAAGGGGCGGGAUAUAAGGUUGUCCCUCAAAAUGCCUCUGCACGCAAUAGGAUAGCGCUAUGACGGAUCAGAGCAACGAAGAAGGUGACGUAGUUACCGUAACCAGUUGGCAAAACUCCAAACACAUCUUUCUUGCUUAAAAAUGACUUCAGUAGGGUUUAUUUGCUCUUCUCUCAAAGAAAAACAUAAGUCUAAGUCCUCCAGAGUCGCGGCCAAAGCCGCUUCAAAAGAAAGCUGUUCGCCAGCAGCAGCAGCCAUUCUCUGUUUUCAAGUAGGAACCGUUGCAGCUCUGUCGUCAUCAUGUUAAGCCCGCCCCACAGACGCUACACACGAUGUGAUUGGCCUGACCAAAUUUUGGUUUUUGGACCGGUUAAGUGUAUUGUGAGUGCCUAGACUAAACCCUGGCAGCAAAUAUAUUUUGCGGCCGCUAGGGUGCGUCUAGAUUUCUAGGCUACAUAUACGUAAUUUUAUAAAACAAAAUCAACUAUAGAUUUAAAUAUAGUGGUAUGUAAAAUCUUAUUGGUUCUUGUGUUUCAUCAUGAGUUGUGACAAAACUGACAGUCGUUAGACACUAAAUGUAUUAUUGUCUGUUUAUUUAAGGUAUGUUUUGUAACUAAAAGGUCAAAAUAUGAAUUGUUUUUUUAUUAACCCACUGGAUACAUUAAAUUUUGAUUACUUUAAUAAUGGAUGGAUGCAGUUUUUGGAGCUUCUAAACAUUUGGUCUCUGAUCAGAGCCAUUACAAAGCAAGGAACAGCCAGGGUAUUAUUUAAUAUAGGUCUGGUUGUAUUCAACUGAACAAAGCAAGACAAACAUCUUGGAUGACAAGGGGGUGAGUUAAAAAAAAAUUUAAUUCUGAAGGUGGCAUUUUACAGUUUAGGUUCUAUUGUGUCGCCUGAUGCGAUAAUUUAUUAAAUUAACAAUCUUUACAUUAAUACCACAGGAAAGGGAAUAUUUUGAACAGGAAUAUCAUAUAAUGAAUUGUUUAUUCUGAAGCAUAUGUUACUAACUAGAUCAUUUUGGGUACGACUAAAUAAGAUCAAGACUUAAUUUUUACCAAUUAUUAUAGGACAGCAGAAACACUGAAGUUUGAAUGACAUAAUACUGCACAUUGUGGACCUUUGUAUUUAGAAACUAUUUAGACCCCCAACACAGUUAAAUUUUGUUAGGUCUCAAUCUGAUACUACAAUAAUCCCCCCCCUCUUAUUAUUAAUCUGCACUUAGUACCCCAUUAUGAGAAACUGAAAACAGGAUUUGGAAAUGUCUAAAUGUAUUUAAAAGAAGAAAAAAAAUGAAAUUAUUCAGACACUUAACUUGGUAGUUAGUUGAAGCACUUUUUGCAGCAAGUACAGCCUCGAGUCUUUUUGGGAAUGACGCAACAAGCUUUGCACAUCUGGAUUGAAGGAAUUUCUGCCAUUCUUCCUUUUAAAUCCUUUCAAGCUCAGUGAGUUUGGAUGUGAACUGUCGGCUGACAGCCGUUUUCAGGUCUCUCCAGAGAUGCUUGGUGAGGUUGAAGUCAGGGCUUUGGUUGGUCCACUUCUCACAUAGUUGUCCCUAAACCACUACUGUGUUGUCCUUGUUCUUUGCUUAGGGUCAUUUUCAUAAGGUUUUAGUGAGGAUAUCUCAGUGGACUCGAGUCAAGGUGUAGAAAAUCUCGGCAUUGAUCAACACAAAUAAAUGGCACCUAAACAAAAUUUCUAGUGUUAUCGCAAAGGGUCUGAAUACUUAAGUAAAUGUGAAAUUAUUUUUUUCCUUUAAAACAUUUUACAGAAAUGUCUUAAAUUCAGUUUUCACUUUGUCAUUAUGGGGUACUAGAUGUUGAUUAAUGAGAAUGAUUUAAAUUCUUUUUUUUUUUUUGAGUCAGAAGAUUUUAAUUAGGCCUUGAAAAGCUGCAUCUGACAUGGGACUUUUAUUAACACACCCCCAGGUUCACAGUCAAGGUUUAGUAAAACACAUCUUAAGAUAUGCCAGUGCCAUUGAUUUGUCUUAUGAUACACACCAGUAAUGUCUUCUUCAAAGGAGUGCUUUUUAAAGAUGCUUAAUAGGCUUGUCUGUGAAACCAGUCCACAGUGUUUAAUAUUGUGACAACUGCAUUAUCUUUGGAAAGUAAUAUAAUUUUAAAUUCUUGAGGUGUAUAUAAAUUAUUAAAAGGAUUAAUGCAAACAUAACAAAUUUGCAAAUAAAGUAAAGGGGUUUAAGUACUUUCUAAAUACACUGUAAAUGUGGUCAUGCCUACUUUGAACUAAUUUGUCGUUUUUGUUGAUUUUGUUUUUCCUAGAUUGGACAUCUAAUUCAUCUUUAUUGGACAUCUAAUUCAUCUUUCAGCUUGCCUCUUAAAAACUGCCAGAAAACCCAAAAAAACACACAUUCAACUAAAAAAAAAGCCUAUAAUUUCUACCCAAAAAAAACGACCCAUUUUUUUACCCCACCCAGCCAAUCUGUUGCCCUAACCCCAAAACACUGACUUUCCCCAAAACAGAACGUCCCUUUAACUUUUUGCUUUGACAGAAAGAGUAAGAGCAGAACUACCUACAGCUCCAGUGUGCCCUGCUGCCUUGAGUGUCUUCACAAAGCAACGUUGAUUAGAGGACUGCGUUGGGAAAUCAACACCAUCAACACACACAAUAAUUUACUAUAGUUUUAAAAUUACAUAAUUCCUGUAGUCUUUUGGACUGCUUAUAAUAGAUAAUACACAUUACAGUACUUUUAAAAGUCAUUAAUAUAUCAGUAAAAAAAAAAUUGUUUUUGCAAGUUCAUCUUUGAAACGUAUUACAUUUAUAUCUGAGUCUUAUCACAUUUGCCUAUACUCUACUAAUUAAUUGCAUUAGUAAUAUUGCCUUUGGUUAUCAUUUCUGUAAAAUAUUGGGGUUAACAGUUCAACAGUUCCAAUGCUAUAGUCUUGUGUGUUUGUAUAUCUAAUUUCUUGACUGUUUUAACGGUGAAAUUUUAGUACAGUACUUUAAUAUAUCAGUAAAAUAUUCUAAGUUUGACUGUUAUUGUAACUGCUAUUUGAAUAGACUACGUUUAAAGGUCAUUAAAAUAUUUUGGUUUGCCAAGUUCCUCUUUGAAUCUUACCACAUUGUAACAUUUACCUUUAUUAAUUGAUUGCAUUACUGAUAUUGCUUUUGGUUAACAUUUUUGUACAAUAUAGGGGUUGACGGUGUUUGACAGUAUAACAGUUCAAUUGCUAUAGUUUUGUGUGUUCGUAUAUUUAAUUUGUUGACUUGUUACUGAAAUUUCAGUCCUGUACUUUAAAAGCUAAUUAAUAUAUCAGUAAUAUAUUUAAAGUUUGACUCUUGUUGUAAUUGAUAUUUGAGUGCAGUACAUUUAAAGGUAAUUAAAAUAUC